AACUCUUCUAAAUACUAUGCAAAUCCACUGACACUAUAUACUUCCUGUAACCAUGACACCUCUGGCUUUUCUUUCCUUGUUAUACAGUAGUUAACUGUUAUGAAAAGAGAGUUGCGGAGAACAGAAUGCACAGUACAUGCCUCUAUCUAAAGACACAGUAGCACUAGUAGCAAUUCACAACAUUCUGCAGUAUUUACAGGUUUUUCCACUAGGCUGCCCACAACACUUGGAGGGGAAGUUUGGCACCACUGCAUUCCUGUGCCUCCACGCUGGUAAAGGUCACUUCCCAGGAGCCUCAGGUCACAGAGGAGAAAAGAUCCCGGAGUCUUCAGAGCAUUCUGGGAUACAAGAGUGACUUCCAGACCAACAGUAGAACUGUUGGACUUAGAAAUGGAAAACAGCAUGAGCCACAGCCCACCCAGGACUGCUCCUGCACUACUUUCCUGAGCUUUAGAACUGUGACUGUUCCACAGCUAAAUUCAGCUCUAAAGCUAAAUCACUGCUGAAACUCAGUGGCGAGGGCUGUCAAACACAUGGAUAUAGCCCCAUCAGUUGAGAUAUGACGACAGACCAUACAUAGAUCAUAAUGGACAACAUGUUGAAGAAGAAAAUAUACAUGAGGUAGCUACAACCAUCUUUUCCAGAUUUGAGAUUUCCUGUCAGCCAUGACAUUCUUCAGAUGUCCACAGAUCCAAAAAUCAACCACUUCUUUCUUUCGGCACUGUGUUGGUUUUUGAACUCACAGACUGCAAAUGACUGUCUGUCAACCCUCACCUACAUCAGUAAAGCUUCAACCAGCAUGCAAUAAAUCAACUGCAGUAGAGGAUAACUCACUGUGAUUUUUGCUGUAGUAUAUUUAAUAUAAUGUCAUAGAGCAUGUAUCUUAAUCUGUUUUAAUGUCUGUGCUCUUAAGUAUUUUGCUUUAGUACGCAGCAUUCACAUUUCCUCCAAGAACACUAUGUUGCACUGAGUGCAAUGUUCUGGUAUCACUGAGCUGCACCGACUGUGCACACAGCAAUAUUUAUGACCUCAGCCUGUCAGUAUAUAAAGAAAUGAAGCUAAAUAAAUUUUCAAGGCUUGCU
rnacentral:lncRNA from 7 species